rnacentral:rRNA from 1 species
GAUGAACGCUGGCGGCGUGCCUAAUACAUGCAAGUCGAGCGAACAGACGAGGAGCUUGCUCCUCUGACGUUAGCGGCGGACGGGUGAGUAACACGUGGAUAACCUACCUAUAAGACUGGGAUCACUUCGGGAAACCGGAGCUAAUACCGGAUAAUAUAUUGAACCGCAUGGUUCAAUAGUGAAAGACGGUUUUGCUGUCACUUAUAGAUGGAUCCGCGCUGCAUUAGCUAGUUGGUAAGGUAACGGCUUACCAAGGCAACGAUGCCUAGCCGACCUGAGAGGGUGAUCGGCGGCACUGGAACUGAGACACGGUCCAGACUCCUACGGGAGGCAGCAGUAGGGAAUCUUCCGCAAUGGGCGAAAGCCUGACGGAGCAACGCCGCGUGAGUGAUGAAGGUCUUCGGAUCGUAAAACUCUGUUAUGAGGGAAGAACAAAUGUGUAAGUAACUGUGCACGUCUUGACGGUACCUAAUCAGAAAGCCACGGCUAACUACGUG